rnacentral:rRNA from 1 species
AACGGAUUUGGCGGCAAGAUAGCCCUUUAGAGGAACCUGCCCUGUAAACGAUGAACCACGAAUACUUUACUUUCUUUUGUAGAUCAGUUUGUAUAUCGCUGUUGUCAGUUGAAUUUUAGAAAAUAUUUUCGUUAAUGAAAAAAUCAUUGACUUCAAGUAAAGGUGCAGCUUAUAGGAAAGAUAGAGGUGGGUUACAUUUAGAAGAUUAAAAUGGAUUGGAAAAAGAAAUAUUUCAUGAAGGUGGAUUUAACAGUAAAAUUUAAUAAAGUUUGAUUGGAGCUCUAUCUUGUGUACACACCGCCCGUC